AAUGAACGCUGGCGGCGUGCCUAAUACAUGCAAGUCGAGCGAAUGGAUUAAGAGCUUGCUCUUAUGAAGUUAGCGGUGGACGGGUGAGUAACACGUGAGUAACCUGCCCAUAAGACUGGGAUAACUCCGGGAAACCGGGGCUAAUACCGGAUAACAUUUUGAACCGCAUGGUUCGAAAUUGAAAGGCGGCUUCGGCUGUCACUUAUGGAUGGACCCGCGUCGCAUUAGCUAGUUGGUGAGGUAACGGCUCACCAAGGCAACGAUGCGUAGCCGACCUGAGAGGGUGAUCGGCCACACUGGGACUGAGACACGGCCCAGACUCCUACGGGAGGCAGCAGUAGGGAAUCUUCCGCAAUGGACGAAAGUCUGACGGAGCAACGCCGCGUGAGUGAUGAAGGCUCUCGGGUCGUAAAACUCUGUUGUUAGGGAAGAACAAGUGCUAGUUGAAUAAGCUGGCACCUUGACGGUACCUAACCAGAAAGCCACGGCUAACUACGUGCCAGCCGCCGCAGUAA
rnacentral:rRNA from 1 species